GGCCUUGUGGCGCAACGGCAGCGCGUCUGACUCCAGAUCAGAAAGUUGCGUGUUCAAAUCACGUCCGGGUCA
rnacentral:tRNA from 1 species